GCUGCCUUCCACACAGCUCCAGAUGUCAGGCUGAACAGUCUCCCCUCAUGCUUGCUGCCAGCCUAGACCAGAAGUGAGAAGUGGACCUGCUAGGAGGCUGUGCACCCAAUGUUUGACACACACAGUUUCCAAGCUGCCUUUCCAGAUUAGAACCCAGACAUGUGAGCCACUGGACGGACACAACACCCCAGUACAGGGGAAUGCCAGGGCCAAGAAGCGGGAGUGGAAACCUGGGAAUAGUUCUACCUCAAGACCCAGCUAUACCACUCCUUGGCAUAUACCCAAAAGAUGUUGCUCCAACAUCCCACAAGGACACUUGCUCAACUAUGUUCAUAGCAGCUUUAUUCAUAAUAACCAGAAGCUGGAGAAAACCUAGAUGUCCUUCAACUGAAGAAUAGAUAAUGAAAAUGUGGUACAUCUCCACAAUGGAAUACUAUUCUGCUAUGAAAAACAAGAACAUCAUG
rnacentral:lncRNA from 7 species